rnacentral:rRNA from 1 species
GGACUACCGGGGUAUCUAAUCCUGUUUGCUCCCCACGCUUUCGCACCUCAGCGUCAGUACCGGGCCAGUGAGCCGCCUUCGCCACUGGUGUUCUUGCGAAUAUCUACGAAUUUCACCUCUACACUCGCAGUUCCACUCACCUCUCCCGGACUCGGAGACUCUCAGUAUCGGAGGCAGUUCUGGAGUUGAGCUCCAGGAUUUCACCACCGACUUAGGAAUCCGCCUACGUGCGCUUUACGCCCAGUGAUUCCGAGCAACGCUAGCCCCCUUCGUAUUACCGCGGCGGCUGGCAC